UGUCUUUUUUAAAAAAAGAGGAAGAGAUCCCUGGUGCUGUUAUAACAUGAUUCUGUUUCAGAAUAUCUUUCCGCCUCUUACUGGCAAGGAGCACCUGUUUCGGUGAUGAGACCUUGUCUUUUGCAGCAGGACCUGACACUGUGUUCCCUCCAUCCUUGUUUUUGGGCUGAGGAAACAGGUCGCAGCUACUUUCUUAGGGUAGAUUUUGAAAGCCCUGAGUGCACUUGUGACCUCCAGAACCCCCCUGCCUCUCGUCCAAAGGGCAGUAUUGGCUAAAUCCCCUUUCCUGCUUAGCUUCACCUGCUCUGGGAUGGCCCACCCCCUAGGUGAUUGUGAACCUUCUAGAUGUGGCUCUAUGCAAAGUUCCCAGCCUCAAAUCCUACCCUUUGGAGACAUGGGAGCCUGAAGAACUGGUUCAGUAGGAAGACCCCUUGUCCGGCUUUGAGGUGCUGCCCACCCCCCACAGGUCAGAGGGGGCAGGCACAGGGAAAGAAGGGGUCUCCUAGCACCCUUCACUCUCCUGCCCCUCUGGGUCCCUUCCCAUCGCCAGGGAAGGAAGUGGAGUCUCCUCCUUCCCUUCCUGAUGACUGCGCGUCCAGAGAUGCUGCGCGUGGUACCCAUCUGCACUUGGGUUGAGUCUGUGCAAAGCUUUGAAGUUGUUUGGGACCAAAAGAAUGCCUUGGCACAUCCGUCCCCUCCCCGGGGUUGCUCUGGUAGAGCUGGCCGUGCUUUCUUUCCAGGGGGCAACCACCCUGACUUGUAAGCAAUGGAGUUCUUUAUUCAAGAAAACCGUCUUCAAACCAGCUCCGUACGCAGCUCGGCUGCGGGCUCUUGUGAGCAGCUGUGCUGUCUCACACUCGUCAGAGGGCUCGCGAGGGUGCGAGCAGGCUGGCUGCGUGCCCGCCCUCUGGGCAGCUCUAGCAUUUACGGUUCUCCCUGUAACAGCCUGGAAAGUAUUUCCAGACCCUGGAGUCUUUGCUUUUUCCUUUUCUCGGUGUUGGUACCACAUGGCUUUGGCAGCUGAGCCCCAGGCAUGUUGGCGUGAAAGUCUUGUGAUCUCUGCCACUCCGAACGAAAAUAUGUCUUAAGUUGUCCAAUCUAAACAAGGUGCCUCCUACAAGCCCAGUGCCUCACAACCACAAGAGAAGGGAGAGAAGACUCAUGAUAGGCCUCCCGCCCCCGGCCCCACACACUUACUUCUUUAUUUAAAGUUUUUCUUUCCAGCAGCUGGUCUCCAGGUGUGCGGUUCUUGUGAACCAGACUUCAGAGCGGAGAGGUUGCAACUGAACGCAGAGCCAGGAGAAGCCAGAGAAUGAAGUUCAGUCCUGUGGAAUUUUACGAGUGGAGAGUUUACAGUAAUCCUUGCUUGUGUUUAUGGUUUCCAAGACAUGGACCAGACUUUUCCACAAGGCCAGACCAGGCACCCAGGGAGCAGGGGGACUUUGCCAUGAACCUGUGGGAAUGUACGCUUUGUAGAACGCGUGUGGAUCAUUAAAAAAAAAAAAAAAACAACUGAAAUGAACGGAGCCAUGAAAGAGAAAUCCA